rnacentral:rRNA from 1 species
GACGAACGCUGGCGGUGCGCCUUAUGCAUGCAAGUUGAGCGAAGCUUUUUGGUAGUUUACUACUAGAAAUGACUGAGCGGCGAACGGGUGAGUAACGCGUGAGCAAUCUACCUUAGUUACUGGGAUAGCCCGAGGAAACUCGGAUUAAUACCGGAUAUUCUUAUUUUUUCACAUGAAGUUUUAAGGAAAGGUCAGCCGAACUAAGAUGAGCUCGCGUUCUAUCAGCUAGUUGGUGGGGUAAAAGCCUACCAAGGCUACGACGGAUAGCUGGUCUGAGAGGACGAUCAGCCACACUGGGACUGAGACACGGCCCAGACUCCUACGGGAGGCUGCAGCAGGGAAUAUUGUGCAAUGAGCGAAAGCUUGACACAGCGACACCGCGUGUGGGAUGACGGUUCUAGGAUUGUAAACCACUUUCAGGAGGGAAGAAAAUGACGGUACCUCCACAAGAAGACCCGGCCAACUAUGUGCCAGCAGCCGCGGUAAUACAUAGGGGUCAAGCGUUGUCCGGAUUUAUUGGGCGUAAAGAGCUCGUAGGCGGUUCAACAAGUCGGUCGUAAAAGUUUAGGGCUCAACCCUAAAAUGUCGAUCGAUACUGUUGUGACUAGGAUACGGUAGAGGUGAAUGGAAUUCCGAGUGUAGCGGUGAAAUGCGUAGAUAUUCGGAGGAACACCAAUUGCGAAGGCAGUUCACUGGACCGUGAUCGACGCUGAGGAGCGAAAGCUAGGGGAGCAAACAGGAUUAGAUACCCUGGUAGUCCUAGCUGUAAACGAUGGAUACUAGAUGUAGGAACUGGAUUGACGGUUUCUGUAUCGUAGCUAACGCGUUAAGUAUCCCGCCUGGGGAGUACGGUCGCAAGACUAAAACUCAAAGGAAUUGACGGGACCCCGCACAAGCGGCGGAGCAUGCGGCUUAAUUCGAUGAUACCCGUAGAACCUUACCUGGACUUGACAUAUAGGGAAAAACUGGAGAAAUCCAGUGUGCGUAAGCGCCCUAUACAGGUGGUGCAUGGCUGUCGUCAGCUCGUGUCGUGAGAUGUUGGGUUAAGUCCCGCAACGAGCGCAACCCCUGUCCUAUGUUGCCAGCAAGUAAUGUUGGGGACUCAUAGGAGACUGCCGGUGAUAAACCGGGGGAAGGUGGGGACGACGUCAAGUCAUCAUGCCCCUUAUGUCCAGGGCUGCACGCACGCUACAAUGGCAAGUACAACGAGUCGCAAUACCGCGAGGUGGAGCAAAUCUCUUAAAGCUUGUCUCAGUUCGGAUAGGAGUCUGCAACUCGACUCCUUGAAGUUGGAGUCGCUAGUAAUCGCAAAUCAGCAAAGUUGCGGUGAAUACGUUCUCGGGGUU